rnacentral:rRNA from 1 species
CCUACGGUCGACAGCAGUGAGGAAUAUUGGUCAAUGGGCGCGAGCCUGAACCAGCCAAGUCGCGUGAGGGAAGACGGUCCUAUGGAUUGUAAACCUCUUUUGCCGGGGAGCAACGGGCGUCACGUGUGGCGCCACUGAGAGUACCCGGAGAAAAAGCAUCGGCUAACUCCGUGCCAGCAGCCGCGGUAAUACAGAGGAUGCGAGCGUUAUCCGGAUUUAUUGGGUUUAAAGGGUGCGUAGGCGGAUCGUUAAGUCAGUGGUCAAAUUGAGGGGCUCAACCCCUUCCCGCCAUUGAAACUGGCGUUCUUGAGUGGAAGAGAAGUAUGCGGAAUGCGUGGUGUAGCGGUGAAAUGCAUAGAUAUCACGCAGAACCCCGAUUGCGAAGGCAGCAUGCCGGCUUCCGACUGACGCUGAAGCACGAAAGCGUGGGGAUCGAACAGGAUUAGAUACCCGGGUAGUC